GGAUUUAAAGGUUGUUCUAGGUCCUUGCAGGAUUAAGCCCAACAAAACAGAGAUUUGUGAUUAAAAGUUGGUUCAAGGUUCUUGCAAUAUUAAGCCUAGCAAAACAGAUUCGUGGGCAGCAAGGAAAGGAAGGUGUUGUAGUUCAGAAAAUCCAAAAACAACUAGGAGAUUGUCGAGCUCUAGUGUAAGGUAAGUUCAACUAAUUUACCUUGUUUCCGGUUCAAUUGUG